GGGGGGGGGGGGGGGGGGGGGGGGGGGGGGGGGGGGGGGGGGGGGGGGCGGGCGGGUGUGGGGGGCUCGGGUGGCGAGCGGGUGAGUAGCACGUGGGUGACCUGCCCUUUGCGUUGGGGUAUCUUCGGGGAGCGGGGGCUACUCCCUGAUAUGCGCUUCUGCUGCAUGGUGGGGGGUUGAACGGUUCGGCGGUUGGGGAUGGACUCGCCGCUUAUCCGCUUGGUGGUGGGGUAGGUGCGUACCAAGGCUGUGACGGGUAGCCGGCCUGAGAGGGUGACAGGCCACAUUGGGACUGAGAUACGGCCCAGACUCCUACGGGAGGCAGCAGUGGGGAAUAUUGCACAAUGGGCGGAAGCCUGAUGCAGCAACGCCGCGUGCGGGAUGACGGCCUUCGGGUUGUAAACCGCUUUCGCCUGUGACGAAGCGUGAGUGACGGUAAUGGGUAAAGAAGCACCGGCUAACUACGUG
rnacentral:rRNA from 1 species